UUUUUUUUUUUUAAGCCUGGUUUUUCUGUUUUUUGUUUGUUUGUUUGUUUUGUUUUGUUUUGUUUUUUUUCUCAGAGAAUUUGGCCCAGGACCUUGCCAGGACUGUUUAUUUACAGGGAGGGCUAUGAGCCUGGGAUGCCUUCAGGGCUGCAUGCCAAAGGUGGGUCCAGGACCUUAGCUCCAGCUCAGUUACUCUGGGCUUCUUGCUUCACUUGCCCCAGAAAGGCUGAGGCCAAGGGCCAGGUACCCUGAAGGAGUCCGCUUCACCCAGGCAUGAUGUGUUUGACAGUCUUUGUAAUUGAUACAGCCAUUGGCAUCCUCUUGCGGCCAAUAUCAGCUCCACUUCAACCUCGGUCAUCUUCUCUCCCAGGGUGGCAAGGACAUGGCAGAGCUCAGCACCCAUGACUGUCCCAUAGUUCUCCUUGUCAAACACACACAGCCCCUCCCCAAAGUCUCAAUAUACCUUUAAAGGUUUUUAAAUUGUUUCAUAUCCGGUCCAGUUGAGAUUUUUAAGAACCUCAUUUUUAAUUUGAAAUAAAAGUUUACAACUUGAGUUUAAAAAAAAAAAAAAAAUCAACAAAUGGCAAGCACUCGUUAAUUGUGAAGGCCAAGAAAAUUAAGGCCAUUCCACUUUAAGUUAAGCGUUAUCACAAGUACAGCCAUCCCAGGCCCCUGUGAAUAAUAGCUGAACUUUACCUUACUUCAGUUACAGGAAGAAAACAGCUUACAGCUUAAUGUUCUAGAAAGCCCCAUAUUAGAAUAAAAACAGAGCCCAAGCCAAGGGCAGGAAGCCCCUAUUAGAAUGAGAACAGAGCCCAAGCCAGUGGCAGGAAGCCCCUAUUAGAAUAAGAACAGAGCUCAAUGCCCUUGAAGGCCCCAUAUCAAAAUGUAAACAGAACUUGAGGAAUUGCUCCACCCCUUCUGGAGGUCCCCUAGACCAGUCCUUAAAACUAAGCUGAAACCCACCUCGGGGUCCAAGUCCCUGCUCCCCUGUGUCAGGUAUACUUGGACCCAAGCUGGAGCUUGUAAAUAAACUCUCGUGUGUUUGCAUCAGUGUUGGCUCCUUGGUGGUUUCUCGGAUUCGCAAUCUUGGGCACAACAAAUAAAGUUCUUAAAUAAUUUUUAAAAAUACAGGAUAAAACUGGCUUUGAAUGUUAAUAAGUGGUUUCUUUUUUUUUUUUUUUAAUGUUUUACCUAUCUAUGCACAUUUCAUUAGGAUUAGGGAAGAAUCUGAUUUCAUCCCUCCAUUCUCAGAAAUCUGAACCUUAUAAUUUUUCAUUUUUCAUGUUCCAAACUUGUUAAGAUAUGACUAAUAUAUAGACUACUUCUAAUUUGUCAAUAUUAUAGGUAAUGCUAAGUUGAAUAUCUUUGUACCUAUAUUCUGAUGUAAUUAUGCAAACAUUUCUGUAGAUAAAAACCUGGAGGUGUAAUUUUGAGACUUUUUAUAUAAAUUUGCACUCUACUAACAUAGAUGAGAAAGAUUGUUUCCCCAUAGUCUAAUCAACAGCAAAUAUUUUCAAUAUUUUAAAUCACAUUUUACACAUGAUCAGUGUAAAAUGUUAUUUUGUUUCUAUCUGUUUCUCUUAUUGAAAGUUUGUAUGUGUAUACUUGUUAUGUUGUCUGUUUUUAUUUUUUCUGUGAAUUUUUUUCUUUAGUAAGUUGACUUUAAGCCAGACUUCUCAAUUAAAAAUUACCUGUGUUUUAAGCUAGAGGUAUCACAAUUCCAGAUUUCAAGAUAUACUACAAAGCUAUACUAGCUAUACUAGUAAUCAAAGCAGUAUGGUACUGACACAAAAAUAGAUGCAUAGAUCAUUGGACAGAGAGCCCAGAAAUAAAUUCAUGAUUUUUUUAGUCCUAUGUUUAUUUAUUCUUUUUUCUAUUUUAGGUUUUUAUUUAAAUUCCAGUUAGUUAACAUACAGUAUAAUAUUAGUUCAGGUGUAGAAUUUAAGUGAUUCAUCAUUUACAUACAACACUAGAUGCUCAUCACAAGUGCCCUUCUUAAUACCCUUCACCCAUUUAGCCCAUCCUCCUUCCCACCUGCCCUCCAGUAACCAUAUUCUCUAUAGUUAAGAGUCUGUUUCUUGGUUUUCCUCUCUCUUUAUACUCACCUCCAUGUGCAUUCGUUUUGUUUCUUAAAUUCCAUAUAUGAGUGAAACCAUAUGGUAUUGUCUUUCUCUAACUGACUUAUUUCAUUUGGCAUAAUAAAUUCUAUCUCCAUCCACAUCGUUGCAAAUGACAAGAUUUCAUUCUUUUGAUGGCUGAGUAAUAUUACAUUGUGUGCAUGUGUUUGUGUGUGUGUGUGUGAUGUAUAUGUAGUAUAUAUAAGAAGAUAUGGUAUAUACACAUACACACAUGCACACACAUACAUACAUCUUCUUUAUCCAUUCAUCAGUUGAUGGACAUUGGGCUCUUUCCAUUAUUUGGUUUCUGUUGAUAAUGGCUGCUAUAAACAUUAGGGUAUUUUUGUAUCCUUUCAAAUCAGUAUUUUUGUGUCCUUUGGGUGAAUAUCUAGUAGCACAAUUGCUGGACUGUAGGAUUGUCCUAUUUUUUACUUUUUAGGAAAUUCCAUACUGUUUUCCGGAAUGGCUGCACAAGUUUGCAUUCCCACCAACACUAUAAGAGGUUUCCCCUUUCUCUACAUCCUCACCAACACCUGUUGUUUCCUGUUAAACCCAUUAUUUUAUGGUCAAUUAAUCUAUGACAAAGGUGGCAAGAAUAUAUAAUGGGGAAAAGACAAUCUCUUCAAUAAAUGGUGCUGGAAAAACUGGUCAGCUACAUGUAAAAGAAUGAAACUUUUAUACCUUUUAACCACCUUUAACAUCAUGGACAAAAUAAACUCAAACUGGAUUAAA
rnacentral:lncRNA from 1 species